rnacentral:rRNA from 1 species
GACAGAGGUGCCAAGCGUUAGGCGGAAUCACUGGGCUUAAAGCGUGUGUAGGCGGGUCGUUAAGUACCUUGUGAAAUCCCCCCGGCUCAACCGGGGGAACGGCUGGGUAUACUGGCGAUCUUGAGCCACCUAGGGGCAGUCGGAACAAGUGGUGGAGCGGUGAAAUGCGUAGAUAUCACUUGGAACGCCAAUGGUGAAAACAGACUGCUGGGGGUGUGCUGACGCUGAGACACGAAAGCCAGGGGAGCGAAACAGG